rnacentral:rRNA from 1 species
CCUACGGGAGGCUGCAGUGGGGAAUAUUGGUCAAUGGACGCAAGUCUGACCCAGCAACGCCGCGUGAAGGAAGAAUGCUCUCCGGUUGUAAACUUCUUUUUAUGGGGAAGUGCAGUAGACGGUACCCCUUUAAUAAUCCACGGCUAACUACGUGCCAUCAGCCGCGGCAAUACGUAGGUGGCAAGCGUUAUCCGGAUUUACUGGGUGUAAAGGGAGUGCAGACGGGAAGACAAGUCAGAUGUGAAAUCUCGCGGCUCAACCGCGGAACUGCAAUUGAUACUGUUAUUCUUGAGUAUAGGAGAGGUAAUCGGAAUUCGUGGUGUAGCGGUGAAAUGCGUAGAUAUUAGGAAGAACACCAGUGGCGAAGGCGGAUUACUGGACGACAACUGACAGUGAGGCGCGAAAGUGUGGGGAGCAAACAGGAUUAGAUACCCUUGUAGUC